UCGAAUGUUGCACCCUAGAUGACGAAUGUCCAGUAGCCGAAAGCAUUACUAUCUUAGGCUAUAACCGCGUGUCUGUUGAAGAAUGAGCCAGCGACUCAUAGGCAGUGGCUUGGUUAAGGGAACCCAUCGGAGCCGUAGCGAAAGCGAGUCUUCAUAGGGCAAUUGUCACUGCUUAUAGACCCGAACCUGGCUGAUCUAUCCAUGACCAGGAUGAACAAAAAAAGAGGUGUUUGGCCCAGGUUUUGGAAGAAAUAAAAGUGCUUUUGGAGAAAAGCAGAACCAAUUUUGGAGAAGCAGAAAAAAGUAGCUUCCCUCCAAAAGUACUUUUUUGAGAAGCACUUUUGAGGAAAAUACACUUAGAAACAGUUUUAAAAGCUUGGUCAAAUACUAAUGCUGAU
rnacentral:ncRNA from 1 species